UACGGAGGAUGCGAGCGUUAUCCGGAUUUAUUGGGUUUAAAGGGUGCGUAGGCGGUCCGUUAAGUCAGCGGUAAAAUUGCGGGGCUCAACCCCGUCGAGCCGUUGAUACUGGCAUCCUUGAGUACAGUAGAGGUAGGCGGAAUUCGUGGUGUAGCGGUGAAAUGCUUAGAUAUCACGAAGAACUCCGAUUGCGAAGGCAGCCUGCUGGACUGUAACUGACGCUGAUGCUCGAAAGUGUGGGUAUCAAACAGG
rnacentral:rRNA from 1 species